rnacentral:rRNA from 1 species
GACAGAGGCCACGAACGUUGUUCGGAAUCACUGGGCAUAAAGCGCACGUAGGCGGCUAGGUCCGUCCGAUGUGAAAGCCCCCGGCUCAACCGGGGAAUUGCAUCGGAUACAGCCUGGCUUGAGGACGGUUGGGGUGAGUGGAACUCCUGGUGGAGCGGUGAAAUGCGUAGAUAUCCGGAGGAACACCGGUGGCGAAGGCGGCUUCCUGGACCGACACUGACGCUGAGGCGCGAAAGCUAGGGGAGCAAACGGG